rnacentral:rRNA from 1 species
UACGGAGGGGGCAAGCGUUGUUCGGAAUUACUGGGCGUAAAGGGCGCGCAGGCGGCUGCUCAAGUCAGGCGUGAAAGGCCUGGGCUCAACCCGGGAAUUGCGCUUGAGACUGGGCUGGCUUGAGUGCGGGAGAGGAUGGUGGAAUUCCCAGUGUAGAGGUGAAAUUCGUAGAUAUUGGGAAGAACACCGGUGGCGAAGGCGGCCAUCUGGACCGCAACUGACGCUGAGGCGCGGACAGCGUGGGGAGCAAACGAGGA